rnacentral:lncRNA from 1 species
AUUUUUAGUUUCUAAGGGAUUUCUCUUCAACCUGUCUGUAGGUUUAAACCUCCAGACGGGUUGAAGAAAUCGCCCGAAAGGAACCACUUGGAAGAUUUUGUUUCCUCCUUUGAAAUCCCACUAGACUUGAGCAGAUCAUUCACUUGAAGACGCUGGAGGACGAUUUGCAAAAAAGGUAAGACACGUUUUCACCAAAGAUUAAAAUUUAAGUUCAUACCGUGUAUUUGUCA